GCCAGUGUGGUGUAGUGGUUUGUGUGUUGGACUGCAACUCUGGAGACCAGGGUUUGAAUCCCUACUUGGCCA